UGCAGUUUAGCUUAGCGGCAUAAGCACCUGCCUUGCAAGCAGGCGGUCGUGAGUUCGAUCCCCGGUACUGAUA
rfam:Cavia porcellus supercont2_18 genomic scaffold, whole genome shotgun sequence.